UCCUAAGGGAGGCAGCAGUGGGGAAGAUUGGACAAUGGGCCAAAGACUGAUCCAGCCAUGCCGCGUGUGUGGAAGAAGGUCUUCGAAUUGUAAAGCACUUUAAGUUGGGAGGAAGGGCAGUAAGUUAAUACCUUGCUGUUUUGACGUUACCAACAGAAUAAGCACCGGCUAACUUCGUGCCAGCAGCCGCGGUAAUACGAAGGGUGCAAGCGUUAAUCGGAAUUACUGGGCGUAAAGCGCGCGUAGGUGGUUCAGCAAGUUGCAUGUGAAAUCCCCGGGCUCAACCUGGGAACUGCAUCCAAAACUACUGAGCUAGAGUACGGUAGAGGGUGGGGGAAUUUCCUGUGUAGCGGUGAAAUGCGUAGAUAUAGGGAGGGAACACCAGGGGCGAAGGCGACCACCUGGACUGAUACUGACACUGAGGUGCGAAAGCUUGGGGGAGCAAACAGGGAUUAGAUACCCCUGGUAGUCCACGCCGUAAAACGAUGUCGAACUAGCCGUUGGGGAUCCUUUGAAGAUCUUAGUUGGCGCAGCUAACGCGAUAAGUCGACCGCCCUUGGGGAGGUACCGGCCGCCAAGGUUUAAAAACUUCAAAAGGAAAUUGACCGGGGGGCCCCGCACAAAGCCGGGGGAAGCAAUG
rnacentral:rRNA from 1 species